rnacentral:rRNA from 1 species
UACGUAGGGGGCUAGCGUUGUCCGGAAUCAUUGGGCGUAAAGCGCGUGUAGGCGGUUCGGUAAGUCCGCUGUGAAAGUCGGGGGCUCAACCCUCGAAUGCCGGUGGAUACUGUCGAACUAGAGUGCGGAAGAGGCGAGUGGAAUUCCUGGUGUAGCGGUGAAAUGCGCAGAUAUCAGGAGGAACACCAAUUGCGAGGGCAGCUCGCUGGGACGUAACUGACGCUGAGACGCGAAAGCGUGGGGAGCAAACAGG